rnacentral:rRNA from 1 species
UACAGAGGUCUCAAGCGUUGUCCGGAAUCAUUGGGCGUAAAGCGCGUGUAGGCGGCCCGGUAAGUCCGCUGUGAAAGUCGGGGGCUCAACCCUGGGAUGCCGGUCGAUACUGCCGGACUAGAGUUCGGAAGAGGCGAGUGGAAUUCCCGGUGUAGCGGUGAAAUGCGCAGAUAUCGGGAGGAACACCCGUGGCGAAGGCGGUUCUCUGGGACGGUACUGACGCUGAGACGCGAAAGCGUGGGGAGCGAACAGG